CAGCAGCCGCGGUAAUACGAAGGGUGCAAGCGUUACUCGGAAUUACUGGGCGUAAAGCGUGCGUAGGUGGUGGUUUAAGUCCGUUGUGAAAGCCCUGGGCUCAACCUGGGAAUUGCAGUGGAUACUGGGUCACUAGAGUGUGGUAGAGGAUAGUGGAAUUUCCGGUGUAGCAGUGAAAUGCGUAGAGACCGGAAGGAACAUCUGUGGCGAAGGCGACUAUCUGGGCCAACACUGACACUGAGGCACGAAAGCGUGGGGAGCAAACAGGAUUAGAUACCCGCGUAGUCCCUGUCUCUUAUAC
rnacentral:rRNA from 1 species